AACGUAGGUGGCGAGCGUUAUCCGGAUUCAUUGGGCGUAAAGAGCUUGUAGGCGGCGUCAUAAGUUGGACGUGAAAACUCCGGGCUUAACUUGGAGAGGCCGUUCAAUACUGUGAGGCUAGAGGGUGUCAGAGGGAAGUAGAAUUCCUGGUGUAGCAGUGAAAUGACGUAGAUAUUCGGAAGAAUCACCAGUGGCGAAGGCGACUCACUGGCCCGAGUACUGACGCUGAUGCGCGAAAGCGUGGGGAAGCAAACAGGG
rnacentral:rRNA from 1 species